rnacentral:rRNA from 1 species
GACCUCAGAUCAGACGAGAUGACCCGCUGAAUUUAAGCAUAUCAAUAAGCGGAG